CAGAGGUUGAGUGAGCCGAGAUCGUGCCGUUGCACUCCAGCCUGGGCAACAAGAAUGAAACUCUGUGUUAAAAAAAAAAAAAAAAUUAGAGCAGGAAUGAAAGGAAGUCAAGUACACUUGGAAGAAGGCCAAGUGAGCAACUUGGGAGAUUGGGUGCAUGGUUUGGCCUUUGACUUGGGGUUUUAUAUGUUGGCAAUCUUCUGGAGUCAAUGAUUCCCUUGGGGUGGGCUGUCUGCAUGCGCAGUGGCCGGCCAGCACUUGGGAGGGGCCGCAAGCCCAGUGUGUUUACUGGAGUUGUGCAUAUACUUACUUGAGGCGUUCUUCCCUUACCAGUCGAAUGUUCCUGUAAGGUCAUGUAUCAGUUAAACUCUGCCAUUUUGCCCCUUAAUGUACAUGCUUGAGCUUUCUUGCCCAAAUCCUGAGAUCUUAUCAGAAGCUGCUGAUCACCAGUUUCAGGUGUUUCUAUCUAUUGGGAGACUGCCUUUCCCUGGCACUGGCUGCAACCAAUUAUUACUUUAGAGAGUCAGCUUAACAACUGGCUGGCCGGCUGGGUGCAGUGGCUCAUGCCUGUAAUCC
rnacentral:lncRNA from 10 species